GAUGAACGCUGGCGGCGUGCCUAAUACAUGCAAGUCGAACGAAACUUCUUUAUCACCGAGUGCUUGCACUCACCGAUAAAGAGUUGAGUGGCGAACGGGUGAGUAACACGUGGGCAACCUGCCCAAAAGAGGGGGAUAACACUUGGAAACAGGUGCUAAUACCGCAUAACCAUAGUUACCGCAUGGUAACUAUGUAAAAGGUGGCUAUACUACCGCUUUUGGAUGGGCCCGCGGCGCAUUAGCUAGUUGGUAGGGUAAAGGCUUACCAAGGCAAUGAUGCGUAGCCGAAUUGAGAGGUUGAUCGGCCACAUUGGGACUGAGACACGGCCCAAACUCCUACGGGAGGCAGCAGUAGGGAAUCUUCCACAAUGGGCGAAAGCCUGAUGGAGCAACGCCGCGUGGGUGAAGAAGGUCUUCGGAUCGUAAAACCCUGUUGUUAGAGAAGAAAGUGCGUGAGAGUAACUGUUCACGUUUCGACGGUAUCUAACCAGAAAGCCACGGCUAACCACGUG
rnacentral:rRNA from 1 species